GAGUUUGAUCCUGGCUCAGGAUGAACGCUAGCUACAGGCUUAACACAUGCAAGUCGAGGGGCAGCAUGGUCUUAGCUUGCUAAGGCUGAUGGCGACCGGCGCACGGGUGAGUAACACGUAUCCAACCUGCCGUCUACUCUUGGCCAGCCUUCUGAAAGGAAGAUUAAUCCAGGAUGGGAUCAUGAGUUCACAUGUCCGCAUGAUUAAAGGUAUUUUCCGGUAGACGAUGGGGAUGCGUUCCAUUAGAUAGUAGGCGGGGUAACGGCCCACCUAGUCAACGAUGGAUAGGGGUUCUGAGAGGAAGGUCCCCCACAUUGGAACUGAGACACGGUCCAAACUCCUACGGGAGGCAGCAGUGAGGAAUAUUGGUCAAUGGGCGAUGGCCUGAACCAGCCAAGUAGCGUGAAGGAUGACUGCCCUAUGGGUUGUAAACUUCUUUUGUCAGGGACGAGUAGAAGACGGUACCUGACGAAUAAGCCACGGCUAACUACGUGCCAGCAGCCGCGGUAAUUC
rnacentral:rRNA from 1 species